rnacentral:rRNA from 1 species
GACAGAGGGUGCAAACGUUGCUCGGAAUCACUGGGCGUAAAGGGCGUGUAGGCGGGAAUGUAAGUCGGGCGUGAAAUCCCGAGGCUCAACCUCGGAACUGCCUUUGAUACUGGGGAUCUCGAGUCCGGGAGAGGUGAGUGGAACUGCGAGUGUAGAGGUGAAAUUCGUAGAUAUCGGGAGGAACACCGGUGGCGAAGGCGGCGACCUGGGUCGAUACUGACGCUGAGGCGCGAAAGCGUGGGGAGCAAACAGG